rnacentral:rRNA from 1 species
GUAGGGUGCGAGCGUUAAUCGGAAUUACUGGGCGUAAAGCGUGCGUAGGCGGUUCUCCAAGUCCGUUGUGAAAGCCCCGGGCUCAACCUGGGAAUGGCAGUGGAAACUAGGGGACUGGAAUCUGGCAGAGGGGGGUGGAAUGCCGCGUGUAGCAGUGAAAUGCGUAGAGAUGCGGCGGAACACCGAUGGCGAAGGCAGCCCCCUGGGCUGAGAUUGACGCUCAGGCACGAAAGCGUGGGGAGCAAACAGGAUUAGAUACCCUGGUAGUCCACGCCCUAAACGAUGGCAACUAGGUGUUGGGGAAGCGAUUUCCUGGUACCGCAGCUAACGCGUGAAGUUGCCCGCCUGGGGAGUACGGUCGCAAGAUUA